UGAAAUACCAGUUCCAGUAAGAUCACCGAAGUUAAGCAACGUCGAGCCUGGCCAGUAUCUAGAUGGGUGCCCGCUUAAGAAUACCGGAUGCUGUAAG